rnacentral:rRNA from 1 species
AGUGAACGCUGGCGGUAGGCCUAACACAUGCAAGUCGAACGGCAGCACAGUAAGAGCUUGCUCUUACGGGUGGCGAGUGGCGGCCGGGCGCGGAAUACCUCGGAAUCUACUUUUUCGUGGGGUGUAACGUAGGGAAACUUACGCUAAUACCUCAUACUUCCUACGGGUGAAAGCAGGGGAUCUUCCGACCUUGCGCGAUUGUAUGAGCCGAUGUCGGAUUAGCUAGUUAGCGGGGUAAAGGCCCACCAAGGCGACGAUCCGUAGCUGGUCUGAGAGGGUGAUCAGCCACACUGGAACUGAGACACGGUCCAGACUCCUACGGGAGGCAGCAGUCGGGAAUAUUGAAGAAAGGGCGCAAGCCUGAUCCAACCAUACCGCGUAGGUGAAGAAGGACUUCGGGUUGUAAAGCCCUUUUGUUGGGAAAGAAAAGCAGCAGGUUAAUACCCCGCUGUUCUGACGGUACCCAAAGAAUAAGCACCGGCUACCUUCGUG